UUUGGUGGCUGUUGCGGCGGUGUCCCACCUCUUCCCAUUCCGAACAGAGAAGUUAAGCCCGUCUGCGCCGAUGGUACUGCAAUGCAAUGCGGGAGAGUAGGGAGCUGCCUGCUU
rnacentral:rRNA from 1 species